UUGGAUUCACGCCGGAAUCUUACCGGGACCGACAGCAAUAUGAAGGCCAGGCUGAAGACUUUGCCGGAUUAGCUGAGAGGUGGUGCAUGGCCGUCGUCAGUUCGUACUGUGAAGCAUCCUGUUAAGUCAGGCAACGAGCGAGACCCACGCCCACAGUUGCCAGCGUACUCUCUGGAGUGACGGGUACACUGUGGGGACCGCCGCUGCUAAAGCGGAGGAAGGAAUGGGCAACGGUAGGUCAGUAUGCCCCGAAUAUCCCGGGCUACACGCGAGCUACAAUGGUUGGUACAAUGGGUAUCUACCCCGAAAGGGGACGGGAAUCUCCUAAAACCAAUCUUAGUUCGGAUUGAGGGCUGCAACUCGCCCUCAUGAAGCUGGAAUCCGUAGUAAUCGCGUUUCAACAGAACGCGGUGAAUACGUCCCUGCUCCUUG
rnacentral:rRNA from 1 species